rnacentral:rRNA from 1 species
UACGUAGGGUGCAAGCGUUAAUCGGAAUUACUGGGCGUAAAGCGUGCGCAGGCGGCUUUGCAAGACAGAUGUGAAAUCCCCGGGCUCAACCUGGGAACUGCAUUUGUGACUGCAUGGCUGGAGUGCGGCAGAGGGGGAUGGAAUUCCGCGUGUAGCAGUGAAAUGCGUAGAUACGCGGAGGAACACCGAUGGCGAAGGCAAUCCCCUGGGCCUGCACUGACGCUCAUGCACGAAAGCGUGGGGAGCAAACAGG